GAGUUAUCUGAACCUUCGGGGGACGAUAACGGCGUCGAGCGGCGGACGGGUGAGUAAUGCCUAGGAAAUUGCCCUGAUGUGGGGGAUAACCAUUGGAAACGAUGGCUAAUACCGCAUAAUACCUACGGGUCAAAGAGGGGGACCUUCGGGCCUCUCGCGUCAGGAUAUGCCUAGGUGGGAUUAGCUAGUUGGUGAGGUAAUGGCUCACCAAGGCGACGAUCCCUAGCUGGUCUGAGAGGAUGAUCAGCCACACUGGAACUGAGACACGGUCCAGACUCCUACGGGAGGCAGCAGUGGGGAAUAUUGCACAAUGGGCGCAAGCCUGAUGCAGCCAUGCCGCGUGUGUGAAGAAGGCCUUCGGGUUGUAAAGCACUUUCAGUCGUGAGGAAGGUAGUGUAGUUAAUAGCUGCAUUAUUUGACGUUAGCGACAGAAGAAGCACCGGCUAACUCCGUGCCAGCAGCCGCGGUAAUACGGAGGGUGCGAGCGUUAAUCGGAAUUACUGGGCGUAAAGCGCAUGCAGGUGGUUUGUUAAGUCAGAUGUGAAAGCCCGGGGCUCAACCUCGGAAUAGCAUUUGAAACUGGCAGACUAGAGUACUGUAGAGGGGGGUAGAAUUUCAGGUGUAGCGGUGAAAUGCGUAGAGAUCUGAAGGAAUACCGGUGGCGAAGGCGGCCCCCUGGACAGAUACUGACACUCAGAUGCGAAAGCGUGGGGAGCAAACAGGAUUAGAUACCCUGGUAGUCCACGCCGUAAACGAUGUCUACUUGGAGGUUGUGGCCUUGAGCCGUGGCUUUCGGAGCUAACGCGUUAAGUAGACCGCCUGGGGAGUACGGUCGCAAGAUUAAAACUCAAAUGAAUUGACGGGGCCCGCACAAGCGGUGGAGCAUGUGGUUUAAUUCGAUGCAACGCGAGAACCUUACCUACUCUUGACAUCCAGAGACUUUCCAGAGAUGGAUUGUGC
rnacentral:rRNA from 1 species